AUGAACGCUAGCGAUAGGCUUAACACAUGCAAGUCGAGGGGCAGCAUGGUCUUAGCUUGCUAAGGCUGAUGGCGACCGGCGCACGGGUGCGUAACGCGUAUGCAACUUGCCUCACAGAGGGGGAUAACCCGUCGAAAGACGGACUAAUACCGCGUACACUCUAUGUUGGGCAUCCAAUGUAGAGGAAAUGAAAUUCGCUGUGAGAUAGGCAUGCGUCCCAUUAGCUAGUUGGUGAGGUAACGGCUCACCAAGGCGACGAUGGGUAGGGGAACUGAGAGGUUGAACCCCCACACUGGUACUGAGACACGGACCAGACUCCUACGGGAGGCAGCAGUGAGGAAUAUUGGUCAAUGGGCGAGAGCCUGAACCAGCCAAGUCGCGUGAAGGAUGACUGUCUUAUGGAUUGUAAACUUCUUUUAUACGGGAAUAACAAGAGUCACGUGUGGCUCCCUGCAUGUACUGUAUGAAUAAGCAUCGGCUAACUCCGUG
rnacentral:rRNA from 1 species